AGCGAAUUGUGCUGUAAAUAGAUAAUAACUCAAUUAGUAUCAAGCUUCAAGUAAUCUCUUUAUGUGAUUAGAUACCUCGGCAGUAGAAUGCGCUUUGGUCUUACGAUUCAGAGCUGCUGGCAUUAGAGAAUUCAAGAUCUGAUGAAAAGUACAUAGUAUCAACCUUGAAGGCGAUUGCAGCAUUGUUAACGAGUACAUCGAGUCCUCCAUGAAUGUCGCUGAUAUACUGUUUGAACGUGUCGACACUUGAGUCGUCAGUGACGUCAAGUUGAUGGAAUCUUGGUUGAAGACCAAGUUUUUUGAGCUCUUCAACUGCAGCUUGACCUUUAGCCUCGUUCCUUGCAGUCAGAUAAACUAUCCCAUCAAAUUGCUCGCACAGACCUUUUACAAUUGCAAAACCAAUCCCUUUGUUCCCGCCAGUUACCUGAAUAUGCAUAAAUAAGACAAGAUCCAGGAUAUACGUAUGAUUAAUAUAAGGAGUCAGGACUCCAAAUUAAUAACUUACCACAGCUACGCGCGACAUCAUGUCACUAUUAGCUAAUAAUCGCAAAUUUUUACUUGUUACAAGAUGAGAACUGAUGUGUAGAAGCUAUCUGAAACCACUGACAAGAUUCUCUGAGAUUACACAUAGCGAAUUUACGAAGUGAUUCAUAAAAUUGUCAGACUAAAUCCACUAUCAGUAUUUAGAGAUAAUUGAGGAACUGGGCGACUAUUUCUGUGCUGUUUAUUCCCUACUUUCACCAUUUGAGUUAAAAACAAUACAACUGUAAUACAUUUCGCAAAGAAACAGAAAAUUACACCCUAUUGAUUAAAUAUGCAGUGUACUUGACGUUCCCGUAUAAAGUUUGAUGAGUAUUCGAAAGUUUGUGGUAUAUAAACAUAAGAAAAAAUUAGUAACAAUAUUAAAAUGGAAAAUAAAGAAACCUUUAUCCAUAUGAAGUGUAACAAUGAAAAAUCAACGUGUAAUUAGAUAUAGGGUCAUUUAUUCGUAACUGAACGCAAGACUCGAGUGAGAGACAGAGAAGCUUAUGCGAAUGCCAGGUGGAACAACUGUGUCAGUCGCACUCGAAUUCAGUAAUGAUUGAAUGACCCUGUAGAUCUGUUUAUUACUAUCAGAUUUAAGGCACUGAUCAACAAAUGAUAUGAAUUUGCCUGCCAGACGGUUGCUACCGAGAACUAUGGAAUGUGCAGACGGAUAUUCUGAUCGGACAUUCUCAUCUUUACAAGCCAAGUCCACAAGAA